GAAGUACUCACUUCACAGUUACCAAGCUGCAUGAACUGAAUGCAUGAAUUGCAUUGGAAAACAAUAUGUUAAAAGGGAAUUGCUUUAGAAAGGAAGAAACAUGGAAAUUUCAGAUAAUAUUGCUCUGCGGAGAUUCCUAUAGCCAUUUUUUAGUGAAGAGAAUAAAAGAUUCAUCAUGGAAUGACCUAUGGCAUUUUAUAUUUACAGUAUAGUCUUCAACAUGUGCAGAUGCUGGACCAAGGGGGUCUCAGUGCCCUGAGCUGGAGGACCAUGGCUGCGAGAAUUAUCAACUCCCAGCCAACCCUGAAAUUGUGCAGGAUUGGCUGCUUCAGCUGGAUCCCUACAA